CGGACGAUGGAAGCGCCUGAACUGCGAAGAGCAGUUGACGAGGUCGGGGGUUAUCGAAAUUUUCGGCGGGUUCCCUCGGGGAAGGAAGCGAUUCCCUCAAGGCUGUCCACAAAGACGUCGGGCGAUCGGCGGACAAAAGGGCGGCCGCGCUUCGCU
rfam:Jonquetella anthropi DSM 22815 chromosome, whole genome shotgun sequence.